CGUUAGAGGUGAGGUGACUGACUGUUUUAGAAAAGACGGAAAGAAGAGUUAAACAUCUUGUGCACAAAGGGGCACAGCCAAGCAAAGGCAUAAGAGAGGCAGAAGAUGGGACGAGUCUGAGACAGCAAAUCUGCCCAGCUUUGAUGAGGGCUAUAUGUCGAGGUUAAUAAGAAAUGAAGGUGGUGGUGGACAGUAAGUAGGUGAAGUCAGGAGUAACGAAAUAUCUGGUUCACAGGACUACGUCUGGUUUUCAUCAUAAAGCACUUCCCCAGUGCCAAGCUGGGGUUAUGAGACUAAGUAUGUCCAGAUGAGCCUAGCCCCUUCAGAGGGGGUCCCUUUGGGAGGCUAUGCAGGACUGUCACUUUUGUUGAAAACCUGUUUGGAACCUCAUUUGGGAAUGGCCUUCAGAGCCUGUGGCAUGUUCUUCGGUUGUCCUCAUUGGUAGCAUGUCCUCCUGCUUCAAGAGCCUGAAAUGGCUAGGUGUGGUGACAUGUGUCUGUAAUCCCAGCUACUCAGGAGUUUGAGGUGAGAGUAUUGCUUGAGCCCAGGAGUUUGAGGCCAGCCAACCUGCGAAAAAUAGCAAGACCUCAUCUCUUUUGAAAAAUAAGUUUCCUGAAGGCCAGGUGUGGUGGCUCACACCUGUAAUCCCAGCACUUUGGGAGGCUGAGGCGGGCAGAUCACAAGAUCAGAAGUUCGAGACCAGCCUGGCCCAAAUUAGCCGGGCGUGGUGGCGGGUGCCAGUAGUCCCAGCUACUUAGGAGGCUGUGGCAGGAGAAACGCUUGAACCCGGGAGGCGGAGGUUGUAGUGAGCCAAGAUCGUGCCAGUACGCUCCAGCCUGGGCAACAGAGCAAGACUCCAUCUCAAAAAAAACAGUUUCUUGAAAUAUUGAGAAGUUAUUUUACUUGGUUCCAAAACUAGUGUGAAUAAGGUUCCUUCUGAAACUUUAUAUGUGAUUCUUAAUUUUUUAUGGUUUGUAGAUUCUGAGAAUUUGAUGAAAGCCACAGAUUCUCUUCCUCUAGUACCCAUACACAUCUAAUUGCAUGAAAUUUUGGGCUUUUGUUAGCCUCCCUGGAGCCCGGGUCCCAGCCAUGUGUCAAAGGCCAGCAUAAUGGUAAUAGUUAAAGGACUUCAUGUAGCAAGCCAGAACUGAACUAAAUACAUGGACAUCUCAAACAUGAGUGUCAUUUAGGACUGAAGGCAAAUUAAUGUCAUGGGGUGGAGAUCAAAAAGAAGGUAAGGAGCCACUGGCAGUAUGAGUCCAAACAGGGUACACCAUGGAAAUCACCUGUGGAAGAGGAAGGUGGAUUCCAGAAGAAAGAAAACUUGUGGGAGUGAGCAUUUCAAGGAUGGAGAGAUCUUGAAGAUACUCACAGGGAAGAUAGUGGUGGGGCAUGCCAUCCACAACGACUUCAAAGCCCUUCAGUACUUUCACCCCAAGUCCCUCACCCGUGACACCUCCCAUAUCCCCCCCCUCAACCGGAAGGCUGACUGCCCGGAGAAUGCCACCAUGUCUCUGAAGCAUCUCACCAAGAAGCUGCUAAACCGGGAUAUCCAGGUUGGGAAGAGCGGACAUUCCUCUGUGGAAGAUGCCCAGGCCACCAUGGAGCUGUACAAGUUGGUUGAAGCCGAGUGGGAAGAGCACCUAGCCCGGAAUCCCCCUACAGACUAGUGGCAGUGGGGACGCUGGUGAUAUGGGGAGGCAGAGGCAGCGCCCAGGAGAAACAGGGCAGUGGACCAAUGGACAGCUGCACCAGCUCCACAUCUUUGGAAGCUAGAUUUGGGGAGAGAGAAGCUCUACCCCAGACUUAAUACCCAUUGAAAUUUCACCUCAGGUGUUGUGUCCUGUGUCUGGUUAAGUGUCCCAUGGAAGGGGGAAGCCUUCAUAUCAGAACCCAGCCCUAUACCGUUUACUUCUUAAAUGGUGCUAACCACAGGUGUCCCAGGGUGCUCUGUGCCAGUUAAGAUUUUUAACUUUCAAGGGGGCAGGGAAUACUAGGAAAUGUAGUUUCCCAAACUGCCUUAUCACUUGGGUGGACAUAUGUCUCCUUUUAUGCCUUUUGGUCUUGAGUAAUUAACAGCAUCCUCUUCCACGCUCAGAAGUGUUCUGGUUGGGGCCAGGCAUGGUGGCUCACGCCUGUAAUCCCAACACUUAGGGAGGCAGAGGCGGGCAGAUCACCUGAGAUCAGGAGUUCAAGACCAGCCUGGCCAACAUGGCGAAAUCCCGUUCUCUACUAAAAAUACAAAAAAUUUGUGGGAUGUGGUGGCGGGCGCCUGUAAUCCUAGCUACUCGGGAGGCUGAGGCAGGAGAAUCACUUAAGCCCAGGAGGCAGAGAUUCCAGUGAGCCGAGAUUGCGUCACUGCACUCCAGCCUGGGUGACAAGAGUGAGAUGCUGUCUCCCAAAAAAAAAAAAAAAGAAGUGUCCUGGUUGGUUAAUAAAUUGUGUGGUCCCUGCUGGGCACGGUGGCUCAUGCCUGUAAUCCCAGCACUUUGGGAGGCCAAGGCGGGCAGAUCACGAGGUCAGGAGAUUGAGACCAUCCUGGCCAACACGGUGAAACCCGUCUCUACUAAAAAUACAAAAAAUUAGCCGGGCGUGGUGGCAGGCACCUGUAGUUCCAGCUACUCGGGAGGCUGAGGCAGGAGAAUGGUGUGAACCCAGGAGGCAGAGCUUGCAGUGAGCCGAGAUUUCGCCACUGCACUCCAGCCUGGGCCACGGCCACAGAGCGAGACUCCGUCUCAAAAAAAAAAAAAAAGAAAAAUUGUGUGGUCCCUUUCCAUGUCACAGACUCUGCUUUUGGCUCAGAGUCUAUAUCUAGCCUGUGUCAGGAUAUUGCCUGUUCUUCCCACCUUGACUUCCAGAGCAGCCAUCGCUUGGUGAGCUUUAGUUCUCCUUAGGGUUCCAGGGCAUUAGAAGUAAGAGUGUAGCUUGGAAAUCAACUUUUGUGAUUUAGGAAAGCUGUCUCUUUCCUAAGGUAAUAGGGGGUUUAUUUCAUUUAGGCCCCAAUUGGUAGGUUUUAAAAUAAUUUAUAAAGUGUUUUAAUAAUUUGGUUGUCUUUUUUACCUUGCUAAACCAAGCCUCUAAAAACUCAAAUUAUUCCCUUGAUAAAUUUUUAUAACGGAAAAGCAA
rnacentral:sRNA from 1 species